rnacentral:rRNA from 1 species
UGGGGAAUCUUGCGCAAUGGGCGAAAGCCUGACGCAGCAACGCCGCGUGGGGGACGAAGGCCUUCGGGUUGUAAACCCCUUUCAGCAGGGACGAACAUGACGGUACCUGCAGAAGAAGCCCCGGCCAACUACGUGCCAGCAGCCGCGGUAAUACGUAGGGGGCGAGCGUUGUCCGGAUUUAUUGGGCGUAAAGAGCUCGUAGGCGGUUUGGCAAGUCGGGUGUGAAAACUCCGGGCUCAACUCGGAGACGCCACUCGAUACUGCUAUGACUCGAGUCCGGUAGGGGAGUGCGGAAUUCCUGGUGUAGCGGUGAAAUGCGCAGAUAUCAGGAGGAACACCGGUGGCGAAGGCGGCACUCUGGGCCGGUACUGACGCUGAGGAGCGAAAGCGUGGGGAGCGAACAGGAUUAGAUACCCUGGUAGUCCACGCCGUAAACGUUGGGCACUAGGUGUGGGGCUCGAUCGACGGGCUCCGUGCCGUAGCUAACGCAUUAAGUGCCCCGCCUGGGAAGUACGGCCGCAAGGCUAAAAACUC